AAGGGCAGCGUAUGGCCCCGGCCACUCUGCAGCAUCCCCAGCUAGCAUCCACCAGCACCGGACCUGGUGUGGAGGAGAUUCCCCCAGGGAAGGCAGGGAGAGGAGCCUGAACUUGAGGAGGAGGGGCAGGUGACGGGUUGGGAAACAGAAAGAUGCAGGGGUUCCCAGCUCUUCUCUGUAUGUACAUAACUAGAACUGUCCCGCCCCACAUGGUCACCAGACAGCGAGCCCCUUUGAGGCCGACACGAACAUGACCAGACACGUGCAAUAAGGGCUGCUCGUGGUGAAUUCCGAGGACGGCCCGGCAGGUGUUGGACACGCUGGGCCUCACCUCCCAAAACUCCGGGUGCCUCAGCGACACCGUGCAGGUGCCUUCGUGCAGACAGCCGGACGGGACAUUCCCUCGCCCAGCUCCAGGAGUCCUCAGAAGCGACGGGUUUCCUGCUGCCUCUCCUCCUGCCCAGGUGGUUUUCUCUGCGUCGCUGGGAGCAAAGUUUGCAGCUCGGUGGACGGACGAGCUCAUAUAAAGCAAAGUUCUUGGAUAAAAGGCCUCGAAGAGGCGUGGCCACCUGGCACCUCCCCUCCCCCCUCAUCCAGAGCCGGGGCUGCUGUUAGCAAAGAAGUCCCACACGUGGGAAAAGAGGGACAAGCAGGUCAAUGGAACAGAAUUAGAUACCCUCCCCCCGCCGCCCCCCCACCCCCACCCCAGACCUGGACGUUUAGCGACAAUUGGCGACAUCUCAGCCUCUGACAGAAAGAUGGGGUUUUUAAGAUGUGGUGUUCAGACAACCAGAUGGGCGUUUGGAGAAACAUGAAAUUAUACAUAGGUCUAAAACUGUAGCGGUGAUGGGUUGAAACAUUUUGUGAAUAUUUUGAAAACUCGGGAACUGCAUACGCUUAAGGGGUGAAUGUCGUGGUAUGUGAAUUAUAUCUCAGCAAAAAUACUUUUUAAAAUGGA